rnacentral:rRNA from 2 species
AAAUUGAAGAGUUUGAUCAUGGCUCAGAUUGAACGCUGGCGGCAGGCCUAACACAUGCAAGUCGAACGGUAACAGGAAGCAGCUUGCUGCUUUGCUGACGAGUGGCGGACGGGUGAGUAAUGUCUGGGAAACUGCCUGAUGGAGGGGGAUAACUACUGGAAACGGUGGCUAAUACCGCAUAACGUCGCAAGACCAAAGAGGGGGACCUUCGGGCCUCUUGCCAUCAGAUGUGCCCAGAUGGGAUUAGCUAGUUGGUGAGGUAACGGCUCACCAA